rnacentral:rRNA from 1 species
GACGAACGCUGGCGGCGUGCCUAACACAUGCAAGUCGAACGGAAAGGCCCUGCUUUUGUGGGGUGCUCGAGUGGCGAACGGGUGAGUAACACGUGAGUAACCUGCCCUUGACUUUGGGAUAACUUCAGGAAACUGGGGCUAAUACCGGAUAGGAGCUCCUGCUGCAUGGUGGGGGUUGGAAAGUUUCGGCGGUUGGGGAUGGACUCUCGGCUUAUCAGCUUGUUGGUGGGGUAGUGGCUUACCAAGGCUUUGACGGGUAGCCGGCCUGAGAGGGUGACCGGCCACAUUGGGACUGAGAUACGGACCAGACUCCUACGGGAGGCAGCAGUGGGGAAUAUUGCACAAUGGGCGGAAGCCUGAUGCAGCAACGCCGCGUGCGGGAUGACGGCCUUCGGGUUGUAAACCGCUUUCGCCUGUGGCGAAGCGUGAGUGACGGUAAUGGGUAAAGAAGCACCGGCUAACUACGUG